rnacentral:rRNA from 1 species
UACAGAGGUCCCAAGCGUUGUCCGGAUUCACUGGGCGUAAAGAGCUCGUAGGCGGUUUGUCGCGUCGGCCGUGAAAUCUCCACGCUUAACGUGGAGCGUGCGGUCGAUACGGGCAGACUUGAGUUCGGUAGGGGAGACUGGAAUUCCUGGUGUAGCGGUGAAAUGCGCAGAUAUCAGGAGGAACACCGGUGGCGAAGGCGGGUCUCUGGGCCGAUACUGACGCUGAGGAGCGAAAGCGUGGGGAGCGAACAGGA